rnacentral:rRNA from 1 species
AACGCGAAGAACCUUACCAGGUCUUGACAUCCUCUGACAACCCUAGAGAUAGGGCUUUCCCUUCGGGGACAGAGUGACAGGUGGUGCAUGGUUGUCGUCAGCUCGUGUCGUGAGAUGUGGGGUAAGUCCCCGCAACGAGCGCAACCCUUGAUCUUAGUUGCCAGCAUUCAGUUGGGCACUCUAAGUGACUGCCGGUGACAAACCGGAGGAAGGUGGGAUGACGUCAAAUCAUCAUGCCCCUUAUGACCUGGGCUACACACGUGCUACAAUGGACGGUACAAAGAGUCGCGAGACCGCGAGGUGGAGCUAAUCUCAUAAAACCGUUCUCAGUUCGGAUUGUAGGCUGCAACUCGCCUGCAUGAAGCUGGAAUCGCUAGUAAUCGCGGAUCAGCAUGCCGCGGUGAAUACGUUCCCGGGCCUUGUACACACCGCCCGUCACACCACGAGAGUUUGUAACACCCGAAGUCGGUGGGGUAACCCUUACGGUGCCAGCCGCCUAAGGUGGGACAGAUGAUUGGGGUGAAGUCGUAACAAGGUAACCGUAAAGGGCGAAUU